GUACCUGCUACCUACCCUUCUCAAACUCAGACCACUUCACUCCAUCAUGUAACCGCACGAAGUUCAAGACUUUUAUAGAUUUCUCUGCCUUUUUUUGUGUGUCAGUGUUGUCUGCUUUUACUUCACACUUUCUCACACUCACUUUUAUUUCUUUCAUCUUCUCACUCUUCUGCUGUUCUGCUCUCAUGCUCAACUACUGCAUUUCCAGCAACAUUAUUACCUCAUCUGUUUUUCCCUCACUCAUGCUGGAAUCUGGAUUCUAGAAAUUAGAUUCUCUCUUGGGACUUGCUUUCUUCUCUCUUUGAUGCUCAAAUAGUACAACAUCUGAAAAUGAACAGAAAAAGGAAGCGGGAUCCGUUGAAGAAUCCAUUCAAUUCUAACCCAUUUGAAGCAGUUGUUUCUGGCUCAUGGCAAGCUGUGGAGUACAUGAAAAUUGGGUUGGGAACUGCAUCCUUGCAUUUCAUGGACAAUCACCAUGUGGAGAUGAUGGACAAAGGCCCUUUAGCAGAUGUUCGAGUAAGGUCGAGGAGAGCUACUUUAUCAGAUUGCUCCAGUUUUUUGCGUCCUGGGAUCGACAUAUGUGUGCUAUCAACCCCUCAAAGUAAAAAAGAUUCAGAUGAACUUAAUCUCAAGCCUGUUUGGCUUGAUGCUCAAAUAAGUUCUAUACAGAGAAAGCCCCAUGACUCUGAGUGCAAGUGUCAGUUUUAUGUCAGAUACUAUGUUAAUCAAGGUUCACUUGGCGCGGAGCUGAGAACUAUUCGUAAGGAGACUAAAAUGGUUGGACUCAAUCAAAUCUCCAUCCUCCAAAGACUUGAACACAGUCCUUGUGAAAAUGUGCACUAUCGGUGGGGUUCAUCUGAGGACUGCGCUUCAAUACCGCACACUAAAAUGCUCUUGGGAAAAUUUUUAACGGAUCUUUCAUGGUUAGUUAUUGCAUCUGUUGUGAGGAAGGUUUCAUUCUGUGCUAGAUCUGUUGAAAACAAGCUUGUCUAUCAAAUUCUGGAAAGUGAUAAUAUUAGUACUUCAUUGAACACUGAGCCUCAUAUAAGUGUUCUGAAUUUCAAAGUAGACGAUGGCGGCGUGGUAGUGUCCGUUGUUUCUCAAGUUACCAUAACUAACUCCAAGAGAGCUGAGUCUGACCAUGAACAUGAACAUGAACCCGGUAAAGAUAAAGCGGUGUCACCAUCUUAUAAUGUUGAUGGCUUACGACGUUCGAAACGCCGGAAUGUACAACCUGAGCGUUACCUCGGUUGCAAUGUUACACAGAUAGAUGUUGGUUGUUUUAGAAGCCAGCCACCAGUUAAGUUGCAAACAUGGAAAGAUGAUAAAGAUGAUGAAAUGUCAUUGCCAUUAUCACGCCUGUUUGGUGUGCCGCAAAUCUGUCCAGAAGGGGACAUGAAAUGGGGACAGAGGAUUUCGGUCCGUCCAGAAGAGGAUGCUAACAGAUGUAAAAAGCCCUGGAAAUUCAACACGGUGAAUAAUACCGUCAAGGAGCUUAAAGUGUACAAUAGGAGGGCUAAAACCGGCAAGGGGAAGCUAGGUGAUGCCAAUAAAAAUGAACAGCAACCUCAACUUGCUAUUGUUCCUCUUCCUGAUCAAGAUGAACCUAUAGCCGUUGAUCUUAGUGAUCUCAAAGACAAGGUUACUAGAAGUGAUGAACAUGACUUUGCUGAAAUUCCUUCCCAAUAUCAUCAUCUGAUUAAUAGCCCUCGACCAAAGAAAAACAGCCUUCACUUGUUGGCUUCUGAGCCUCAGAAUGUGCCUGCAAAGUCAGAAUAUGCAGAAAAGAGUGAGGAUGUUCCUUUGAGGCAUCAUUAUAGUUACAGCACCUCCAAGCUACACAAGAAGAGUUUAUGUGAUGCGGAUGAUAUAGACCUUGGAACUAAAUGGGCAGGAAUAAAUUCCAGUAAAGGGUCUCAAGCGAGAAAACAUCGUCCUACGCAUUUAAGAAGUAGAAAUCAGGACAGUGAAAGAAGUUAUUAUAAAGACAGAACCUUAAAUGCAGCUGCCUACAAGGACUUGAUAAAUUCAUACUUAAAGAAUAUGAAUACAAGACCAGACGAAGAAGAAACACCUCUUACCGACCAGUGGAAGCAGCAUAGCAACACAACAAGCAACUUUGAAGAAGACGAAGCAGCAAAGACAUCGCCCGCAGAGGAUGCAGAGGAAAUAUCUGAAUUGGAUAUGUUGUGGAGAGAAAUGGAAGUGUCAUUGGCAUCAUGCUAUCUUGAGGAGACAGAGGGUUCAAAUGCAACCAUUUUGCCUCCUACGGAAGAAAAACCGAAGAUAGUUUGCGAGCAUGAUUUUAGAUUGGAUGAGCAAAUUGGAUUGUACUGCCAUAGAUGUGGCUUUGUGAAAAAUGAAAUCAGAUAUAUUUUUCCGUCCUUUGUUGAACAUUCUAGGUGGUACCGUGAAGAGAAGCAGCAUGCUGCAGAAGAUCCAGAGCCCAAUGCUGAUGAGGAUGAUGAUUUCCAACUUUUCUCCAAUCUUGCUUCUUCUGAUGAACCUAUAUCUGAAGAAAAUGACAAUGUUUGGUCAUUGAUUCCAGAACUCCGGAAAAAGUUGCAUGUCCACCAAAAGAAAGCUUUUGAGUUUCUUUGGCGAAAUAUUGCAGGGUCUACAAAUCCAACAAUUAUGGAAGAAGCAUCUAAAAAAAGAGGUGGUUGUGUGAUAUCUCAUACUCCUGGAGCUGGAAAAACUUUUCUCAUUAUUGCUUUUCUUGUGAGCUACUUAAAGUUAUUCCCAGGGAAGAGACCUCUAGUCCUUGCUCCAAAGACAACACUCUAUACUUGGUACAAAGAAUUUAUCAAGUGGGAGAUUCCGUUACCGGUGUAUCUGAUUCACGGUCGUAGAACCUACCGCGUGUUCAAUCAGAAAAAAGAUAUGGUUUUUCCUGGAAUUCCAAAGCCCACAGAGGAUGUCAAGCAUGUUUUGGAUUGUUUGGAGAAGAUUCAAAAAUGGCAUUCCCAACCAAGUGUUCUCAUCAUGGGUUAUACAUCAUUUUUAACAUUGAUGCGAGAGGAUUCAAAGUUUGCGCACAGAAGGUAUAUGGCCAAGGUAUUGAGGGAAAGUCCUGGGCUCCUGGUACUAGAUGAAGGGCACAAUCCUAGAAGCACUAAAUCAAGGUUGAGAAAAUGUUUGAUGAAAGUACAGACAGAAUUGAGAAUAUUACUUUCAGGUACAUUGUUUCAGAACAAUUUUUGUGAAUAUUUUAACACUCUCUGCUUAGCAAGACCAAAGUUUCCUCAAGAAGUACUGAAAGCAUUGGACCGAAAGUACAAGAAAAAAAAGAAAUUAGGAACAGAAAAAGCGCGUUAUUUAACAGAGUCACGGGCUAGAAAGAUAUUCCUAGAUGAAAUUGCUAAGAAGAUUGACUCAAAUGUUGGUGAGGAGAGGAUGCAAGGUCUAAACAUGUUGAGAAAUGUGACAAAUGGUUUCAUAGAUAAUUAUGAAGGUGCGAGUUCGGAUGGUCUACCCGGUUUACAAAUUUACACAUUGCUAAUGAACACAACUGAUGUGCAGCAUGAGAUUUUGCAUACACUACACAAGAAAAUGGCUGAGUGCAGCGGAUACCCUCUGGAGUUAGAGCUUUUGAUAACUCUUGGAUCAAUCCAUCCUUGGUUGAUCAAAACAGCUGUCUGUGCUGAAAAGUUCUUUUCUCGGGAGCGAUUGCGGGAGCUUGAUAAAUGCAAGUUUGAUUUAAAAAUAGGGUCAAAGGUGAAAUUUGUUUUGAGCCUUAUUUACCGCGUUGUCAAGACAGAGAAGGUUCUUAUCUUUUGCCACAACAUUGCACCUGUGAAAUUGUUCAUAGAAUAUUUUGAGAAGUACUUUGGAUGGCAAAAGGGCCGUGAAGUUUUGGCACUAACCGGGGAGCUUGAGCUCUUUGAAAGAGGUAGAAUAAUGGAUAAGUUUGAGGAGCCUGGUGGAGCAUCAAAGAUACUCCUUGCUUCAAUUACAGCUUGUGCUGAAGGCAUUAGUUUGACAGCGGCUUCACGCGUGAUUAUGUUGGACUCGGAGUGGAAUCCGUCGAAAACAAAGCAGGCUAUUGCGCGCGCCUUUCGUCCGGGCCAGCAGAAAGUGGUGUAUGUGUAUCAACUCUUGGUGACAGGCUCAUUGGAGGAAGAUAAGUACCGAAGAACCACUUGGAAAGAGUGGGUUUCAAGCAUGAUUUUCAGUGAGGCCUUUGUGGAGGACCCUUCUAAGUGGCAAGCUCAGAAGAUUGAAGAUGAGACACUGAGGGAAAUGGUUGGAGAGGACCGGUCUAAAUCAUUCCAUAUGAUAAUGAAGACCGAGAAAACUACAACAAACAAAUGAAAGUCACAAAUAAAAAGGCUACUCUAAUCUUGGAAUAGAAGUGAUUCCUAAAAAAGGGACCAGCCGAGGCUAAACAUUGCCGCAAGAGCAUCACUAAGGGAACCAAGCCUGCUAUUAGCAUGUUUGGAAAUCCUUCUACAAUUGAUUCUAAAGUCAAAAUUAAUUAUGGGGAGAAGCUUCUAUGAGUAGUUUUUGUGUCUAGUUUCUGUGUGAUAGUUCUGUUUAUUUCCUACUUAACAAGCUAGUGGACUUAUUUAUGUAGACUCUAGUUUUUGCAAUUGUGGAACACUUUCGAUGUUUGUGUUUCAAUUAGGUACUCUGGAUGUUCACCUUGGUUAGGUAGUUAGCAUGGUGAAGGAUCAAAAUUCUAACAUCAUGGUCACCCCUGGUCCUAAACAUCGGGCUGGUGCUAAUUGAGUUAAUAAAAACUAUUGGCAAGUUCUCAAUA